GCGAUGGGGUUGCGAUCGCCCCACGAGGCGUCAUGCCGAAGAAUCGCGUCCAUCAACCCGGCUACCGGAGGACGCGCCAUG
rfam:Kaistia sp. SCN 65-12 ABS35_C0335, whole genome shotgun sequence.